UCACCAGUGCCCCUCAACUUCUUCCAUUUGUUUAUCAUUUUGAUAUUUUAAUAUCUGCACAUAAAAUUUGCAACUUCGUAUAACUGCUUCCAUAAUAUAGGAUUGUUGAAGUUUUGCUAGAUGCUCUUUUUAAUUUCUCAUCAACAUAAGGUUUUAGGGAUAGUUUUUGUUUCCAGUGUUAUAUAAUUGCAACAUAAACCAAGAUUAGUGGUUCAUCUAUUGUUGGCAUAAUCUGUUGUUGAUUCUGUUCAAGUUUGCUGACUACUUCUUUGAUUUGCAAUGUGGAGCAUUCAGAGUAGUCCAAUGUUCUAAUUGCAUUAAAAAUUGGGAACCUUAUAUAUUACAUGGUUGUUUAUUUAGAUUAGUGCUUUUUGGACAUGUGAUGAUUAUGUUGAUGGACUUGCUCUUUUCAAAAAAAAAAUUGUUGAUGGACUUGCAAUUGGGGUUUCAUUGUUAAUGCCAUGGGAUUUGAUUUGUGAUGGGAAAUAUGAUUUUGAUUUAUGAUUCAUAUUUUCAAUCUUUUGUUUUAUUAAGAUUUGAUUAGGAUUAAUAUUUAGUAAGAUUUUUUACUUUUGGCAAGAUUAAUAUUUUAUAAGAUUUGUUACUUUUGGUAAGAUUUGAUUAGGUUUUAUUUAGAAAUAUUUCAUUUUGUUUUAUGAUUAACUGAAAGAUUGCUUUAUUAUUUUGAAUAAUGUUGAGUUUCUCUCUUCUUAUUCUUCUUCUUUCUGCAUUUUUCCCUUCCUCUCCCCCAUCAACUUUGGCAUUAGAUCUUUUUUUUUUUUUGGUUCCACAUAUAAAAGAAAAAUUGGAUUAUGAGUUUUCAUUAGCUUCAACAUUCAUCAACUUUUUGGAGCAUUGAAAAUUUCUGAACAGAACUCAAGUUGUUUGGAAGUCUUUGCAGCCCUAGAAGAUCACUGAAACCCAUUGCUGCAACAAUUAGCAGAAAUCAAUCAAACCAGAGAGCCAUCCUUGCAAAGGCAGUCGCUGAACUGUUGUGAAAUCACUGGAGCCACCCGCAUAGCUUUUAGAGGAGCUCUAAUUGAAGACCUCAAAGCCUUCAACAAAGUUGGAAAGCUAGCCUUGGUGAGCCUUGCUUCAGAUUCUCACCAACCUCAUCAGCCAUCUCCUUAGUUCCUUGCUAGGGCUACUGAUAACAUUGGCACAUGUCGAUACCUCUGUUGGAUUUAGAAACCUUACUAUGAUUCACUUCUAUAAGAACAGUCACUGGGCUUCUCCUCUUAUCAAAUUAGCCCUUCAACCUUUUUACUCGAUUGUUUUCUUUCUGUUUGCUCAAUUUCCCACUUGUAACUAGCAACCCAAUUUCAAUCGACCACCAGCUUGUAGGGAUGGAAAUGGGCAUGGUGGGGCUAGGGAAGGGUAGCCUUCCCCAUCCCCCCGCCUUGACAUCCUAGACCCCACUCCAUUCCUGCCUCAUACUUCAAUGGGGGCAAGAAAACUGAACACCAACACUGCCCCCAAUGGGGUAGGGUUGAGGAUACCUGUUCCUCGAAGUAAAUGGAAAUCACUAAUAGUAAUGCAAUUCUAAUACAACUAUCUAAGAAAUGCAAGUCUGAUACAACUGCAAAUUUGACAACUGAAAAAGCUAGUUGCAUAUUAUAAACAACAGUCAACACCACAAAUCGCAGAUUGUGAUAAACAACCAACUUUAAACAGUGUUAUACCUUCCAAUCAACGCAAAAAAGAGAGAAGUGGGUCAGUUGGUGGGAGAGGAUGGGGGGAAGGAGGGUGUGGAGGUCGGCCAUUGCUUUGUUGGCGUCGACAUAAUCUGCUGAGAGAGGGAAAGAAAGAGACAGGGAGAUGGAGGUGGGUUGGCCAGGGAUGGCGGUGCAUAGUGAUAUUUGAGAGAGACCAAAAAGAGAGAUUUCUAUGCUUUUGGGAUGGGAGGGAUGCAAUACAGCUAUGCUGAUCCAGUGAACAAUAGUGAGAUUCGAGGGAUGUGGCCUGCGAGUGACACAACUGUGAUUUGAAAGAGAGAUGAGAGGAGAGUGGACUGUUGUGGUGCCCUAACUCUAAUUACCUAAACAUUAUAUAUUAUAUAAACUGAAAAAUACAGUAAUUUAAAAUUUAUAUAUUAUAUAUAGCGGCGCAGAGCAGGGACAAACUGGGGCAAGCAGGGACUAUAAAUCCCAUCCCCACCCUUCCCCCCCAAAAACAUUUGAGGAUUUCUCAAUCAUUGCCUCCUCCUGGUCGAAGGGCAUUGACCCCACCCCAAUUGGGGCAGGGCCCUAUAUGGAUGGGUCAUUUUGCCAUCCUUAACAGCCUUAGAUCCAAUUUCAUGCUGAGACCCAUCACCACAGUCCAAGCCUAGAAUUCUACAGUCCUUCCACUCUUUAUUCAUUUUUGAGCCAAAUUUGUUUAAUCCAAGCCCCUAAUUAAACAAAACCUAUGUUUCUACAAACGCAAACCUCAACUACAACCCAAAUCAGAAAACAUGUUUCUUUCCAUAUCUUUGGGAUAAUUUUCUAUUGUCUAAAUUAAUGUUAAUUUAUAUUGUGUGUUUAGUUUUUCAUGGACUUAUUUGCCCCCUUAGCCAUGUAAGCCCAACUUGUCAAACUUUAUUCCCCAUCAAAGCUCAUAUACUAUAAAUUAUCCAAGAGAUGAGACGAGAAAUACAUGCCCAGAAUUGAGCUAUACAAGCCCAGAUUGCAGCCUUGGUCACUGGAGUUGAAGCACUUGAGAUGAACCAUCACUACAAUAGCAAGUAUAGGUUACCUCAUACGGGCUAUAAUAGGUAUUGGGAUAACUAUUUACCAUACCUCUUCUAUGAAUCACAAGUUAAUGCUAGGUCAUCUUUUGCCUGGUAUGCCACGUUCAAUUGUUUGGUCACAACCAAAGUGUUCUAACUGUGGAUCUACUACUCACUUGAUUAAAGAUUGUGCGUUCAUGCCUUUGGAUAUAUGGAUCAAAGGAAGAGUAGGUAAAGGAAAAACUCUAGAAGUAAUCAUCAUCAUCAAUUGCUCCUUAUCCUAAUGAAGUUAGGGUCUGCAACAUGGCAUUUAUAAUGUCAAUUGAUCUCUAAAAGUCGCAUUGACAAUACAAAUCCAUGCAACAUAACAAUGUGGCAAAAUUUUAAGUAGGAUGAAACAAUUAUAGAUGUUGAGGAAGUUCUCAAGGAUGAAACGACAAUAGCAUUUGAGGAAGCCCCCAAGGAUGAUCGAACAUAAGCCUAGUUCUGGAGUUUUCCAUAAGGAAUUCCCAAAACCUCUUUGCCCUUCGCCAGCUCCUUAGCUUUCCAUUGAUAUUGUUUCACAAGUAAUCCUUCCUAGUCCGUCUCAUCAUAAAAGGAAACAUAUUGAACCUUUGUAGUUAGACAAAGCAAUCAACAAACUCAACAAAUAGCCUUCAGUUCCCUUCAAUUAACCUCUGGGUGGCCUAUUCUGUUCCUCCCAACAAACUCAAGCCCCAGUACAACUACCUUUCUGCUAUGCACACAAAUAUAAACUUCACAUCUUUUUAUUUUAUUUUUUAUAUCAGCAGAAUAUUUUUGGCAGGGAUGGACAGAUUCAUAGUUUUCUUAUUCAUUGGGUGAAUCCUCCAGGUUGAGCAAUGCAGAUUUGUGAAACUCUAGGAUGAGUUUUUUCCAACUAGGGGAGAAUGAUAGAAAAUGUGAUCUUGAAUUCUGAUUUGUUUUGAUUUGGAAAUCAGAUUUUCAGCAUUUUGUUUUAGUAAGUUCUGAUUAGGAUUAAUAUUUAGUAAGAUUUGUUAUUUUUAGCAAAGAUUUGAUUAGGAUUGAUAUUCAGUAAGAUUUGUUAUUUUUAGCAACAUUUGUUAGGUUUUUUAUGAUUUGUCUUUUGCCUAUAAAUUGGCCUUAUGGAUGUAAUCAGAAGAAGCUAAAUGGCUCUUUAGCUUGAAUUUCUCCUGAUUUUUCUCACUCGGCUUUUCUUUUUCUUCCUUUUCUUUCAUAAGCUUCUUUCUUCUAAAAUGUCUACUUCUCCUCCUCUUCUUCUUAUUCUUCUUCCUGCUUCUCUGCUGUCUCUCUACUUUCUGCAAUUUUCCCUUGCUGUGCUGCAUCAACUUUGCUACCAGAGCAUUCUUUUUUUGCUGUUCCACAUCAAUAUGGCUCCAUAAUGCAUAUAUUGACACCUACUUCUUAUAAAAGCAUUCACUCUCUGGAAGGGAGAACAAAGUUAAAAAAAAAAAAAAAAAAAGAAGUGUAAAAAGAGUCCUGUUUUUUCAUUGAUAAUGAUGGUAAUCUAGCUGGCUUUGUGGUACUGAACUAGUUAUUGGUGCAUAAGUUGCCUGUUUGUAGUUGGCUUUUCUGUUCCUGAACAUUCAAUGUUAUUUAAUCAUGUAAAUAUUGGUCAGUGUGCUGACUUCUGUUGCUGAUGGUAAUAACUUUGUUGCAUUUAGUAGAGUUGGGAGCAAUAAUUUCAUUGGAUGAAACAAUUAAGAGAAGUAACAGAAAUCCAAAAUUACAAUGAUAAUUGCAUUGUUCAUAAUAAUAGGAUAUCCAAUUGCAACCUUUGUAUAUGCAAUAGAUCCCUUCCUUGCACCAAUCAAUAUUCCUACUAAUUAGUUAUCAAAAUUAAGGAUUGUAAAGCUGUUAUGAAUGAUGUAUGAAUGAUGACAAGUCUAAUAUUUUUGAACACAAUGAAAAACACUUAGGAUCCAUCAUCCUGUCUUCUGUUUACUCCAUGUUGAGACUCCCUGUUCCUCGCACGGCAUGGGAUUUAGAACCAGCAUACUGAUAAGCACCUUUUUCAGAAAGUCCACUUUAAGCAAAAGGGAGUAUCUGUUAGGAAUAUCUAGAUAGGUAGUUUCCUCUGCAAUAGAAAUGUACUUGUAGAUCCACUGGACCAUUCUUUCAACUUGAUCUUGGUGCCUUUUAUCUUUCUUAACAAAUUUUUUUCAAGUUCCUUCUUUCUAAUUAUUAUCAUGUUGAUUAUAUGUCUGUCUCUGAGAAACUAAUUGGAGUGGUUGCAUAACCCUUUAAGUUAAAAUUUUAUGCCCAUACUUUCUUGCCAAUUUACAGACUGCUGACAUUUCUUUUGUUGGCUUUUGACAUUUUCUUGCCUUCAUGGCAACUUGUUGCAUUAUGUUUGCUUACAUUGAGACGCCGGCAGAUUAUGUUUCAAUGUUUUCUUACAUUGACUUGUGCAAAGCGGACACUUUUUUUUUUUUUUUUU